rnacentral:pre_miRNA from 1 species
ACAAUAUUCAGUCCGUUGGUCUACCGAGCAAUUACAACCGCUCAGUGGAAGAUCUUCCCUUUAUCGU